GUAAGGAAUAUUGGUCAAUGGACGCAAGUCUGAACCAGCCAUGCCGCGUGCAGGAAGACGGCCCUACGGGUUGUAAACUGCUUUUGUACCGGAAUAAACCUUUGGUCGUGACCGAAGCUGAAUGUACGGUAAGAAUAAGGAUCGGCUAACUCCGUGCCAGCAGCCGCGGUAAUACGGAGGAUCCAAGCGUUAUCCGGAUUUAUUGGGUUUAAAGGGUGCGUAGGCGGCCUAUUAAGUCAGGGGUGAAAGACGGUAGCUUAACUAUCGCAGUGCCUUUGAUACUGAUGGGCUUGAAUGUACUUGAGGUAGGCGGAAUGUGACAAGUAGCGGUGAAAUGCAUAGAUAUGUCACAGAACACCAAUUGCGAAGGCAGCUUACUAAAGUAUGAUUGACGCUGAGGCACGAAAGCGUGGGGAUCAAACAGG
rnacentral:rRNA from 1 species